rnacentral:sRNA from 1 species
UGCUAUGAGCUGCACCAUCGAGAAGAUCCUGACAGACGCCAAGACGCUGCUGGAGAGGCUGCGGGAGCACGAUGCGGCCGCCGAGUCGCUGGUGGAUCAGUCGGCGGCGCUGCACCGGCGGGUAGCCGCUAUGCGGGAGGCGGGGACAGCGCUUCCGGACCAGAGCUGUGGAUUUCCUUGGAGGAACACCAGGAUGCUUUGGAACUCAUCAUGAGCAAGUAUCGGAAACAGAUGUUACAGUUAAUGGUUGCUAAAAAAGCUGUGGAUGCUGAACCAGUCCUGAAAACUCACCAGUCUCACUCUGCAAUAGGGUCUGGCUCUUGUCGACCAGGCUGUGGUGUAAUGGCACGAUCUCGGCUCACUGCAACCUCUGCCUCCUGGGCUCAAGCCAUCCUCUCACCUCUGCCUCCUGAGCAGCUGGGACUACAGGAAAUUGAGAGUCAGAUUGACAGAAUCUGUGAAAUGGGAGAAGUGAUGAGGAAAGCAGUUCAGAUGGAUGAUGACC